rnacentral:rRNA from 1 species
AUUGAACGCUGGCGGCAGGCCUAACACAUGCAAGUCGAACGAGUGGCGGACGGGUGAGUAAUGUCUGGGAAACUGCCUGAUGGAGGGGGAUAACUACUGGAAACGGUAGCUAAUACCGCAUACCAUCGGAUGUGCCCAGAGGGGAUUAGCUAGUAGGUGGGGUAAAGGCUAACCUAGGCGACGAUCCCUAGCUGGUCUGAGAGGAUGACCAGCGAGACUGGAACUGAGACACGGUCCAGACUCCUACGGGAGGCAGCAGUGGGGAAUAUUGCACAAUGGGCGCGAGCCUGAUGCAGCCAUGCCGCGGGUAUGAAGAAGGCCAUCGGGUUGGAAAGUACUUUCAGCGGGGGGACAUUACCCGCAGAAGAAGCACCGACUAACUCCGUGCCAGCAGCCGCGGUAAUUC